rnacentral:misc_RNA from 1 species
UUAACGAUUUAUAUCUAUAUUCAGACGACAUAAUUAUAAGAAUUUGAGAAGGCUACUGGCGGACACUGACCAGGGGCGAAAACCCCCGGCGGCCCCUGAAGGCGGGCCCACCAAAGCAACAUGGUAUAAUCAACAAAGGGUUGGAGGUCGGGCCUGAAAGACCCUAACUCGGUAAUGAUCCUUCCGCAGGUUCACCUACGGAAA